GCCCCGCGUGGCCCGCGACGACGAGUUCGGCGUUCGGGGCGUCGAUCUCGGCCGGGUCGGGUUCGGCCGCGAGGCG
rnacentral:tRNA from 1 species